CGCAAAAAUGAGGAGAUUAGUCGCCAGGCGACCAAAUCUCCGCAAAACGCCCAGUGUGGCCUGACCCUUAGAACAAACCAGACGGCAACUCUAGUUCUACCGAGGGGCGGACACUCGGCUUAAAAAAAAAUAGAAUAAACAUGUGUGUGUACCUUGCACAAUGGGGAGAUUUAACCAACUGUAUAAUGCAAACUAAGCAAUAAAAAAAAAAACAGUAGUUUCCCUGAUAUGGUUUCCAUGGAAACUACAGUUCGCGUCGCACCCUCUCCUAUGUGACACGCAGCACGCACGGCCUUGCCCAUCACAUGAUCGCCUGUCACUUCCUCCUCCGCAACUUGGGCGCAGCUUUUUACUACACUACAACUCUGGCAAUGGAAACGCAACAAGCCAAACAUCGGAGUUCCAAGUUAGACGGCGGGGAAGCAUCAGGGCUCCUGAAAGGCUCCUCGGAAGGAGGGAACAAUGAGAGAGCGGUGCCGGAUCCUGCAGCACUGGACGAGCGCAGAAGGGAGGCCCGGGGUUACUUGGAGUCUAUAUCUCACCACUCCUACUGGUUCGACGUGUGGAUCUUCCUGCUUUUUGACUUAGUGCUUUUCCUCUUCAUCUACCUGCUGCCCUGACCUGUGAAAAAGUUUCAAGCUAUGUGGAUAGAACAACGAGUACUGUGCCUUUACCUCUCUCGCCUGGGUUACAAAGUGGCAGUAUUAUGCAGAGGCGUGCCUUCCUUAAUUGGACUACUGUACUCUAUGGCCAUUGGCUGAAGAUUUGCAGACUGCAAACAACUGUUUUCUCAAUCUACCCAAGAUGGAAUUUUGUUUGGGAGUAUUUAUUUCUGUUGUGAUGAAUGGGCUCUACUAAUUAUUUGACUUUGUGACCACUCAUAUGGCUAUACUGUGAGGAAAAGUUUCAUUUAUAAAAAAAAAAAAAACAUUUUGGUUUCCAAAUAAUUUUUGUAAAAGCUAUUUCUAAGUAAACUCUUCCUAAAAGCA